rnacentral:rRNA from 1 species
AUUGAACGCUGGCGGCAGGCCUAACACAUGCAAGUCGAACGAGUGGCGGACGGGUGAGUAAUGUCUGGGAAACUGCCUGAUGGAGGGGGUUAACUACUGGAAACGGUAGCUAAUACCGCAUACCAUCAGAUGUGCCCAGAGGGGAUUAGCUAGUUGGGGGGGUAACGGCUCACCGAGGCGACGAUCCCUAGCUGGUCUGAGAGGAUGACCAGCCACAGUGGAACUGAGAAACGGGCCAUACGCCGGAGGGAGUCAGCAGUGGGUAAUAUUGCACAAUGGGCGCAGGCCUGAUGCAGCCAGGCCGCGUGUAUGAAGAAGGCCUUCGGGUUGUAAAGUACUUUCAGCGGGGAGGCGUUACCCGCAGAAGAAGCACCGGCUAACUCCGUGCCAGCCGCCGCGGUAAUAC